UACAGAGGGUGCGAGCGUUGUCCGGAAUCACUGGGCGUAAAGGGCUCGUAGGUGGCCAACUAAGUCGGACGUGAAAUCCCUCAGCUUAACUGGGGAACUGCGUCCGAUACUGGAUGGCUCGAGUUUGGGAGAGGGAUGCGGAAUUCCAGGUGUAGCGGUGAAAUGCGUAGAUAUCUGGAGGAACACCGGUGGCGAAGGCGGCAUCCUGGACCAACACUGACACUGAGGAGCGAAAGCCAGGGGAGCAAACGGG
rnacentral:rRNA from 1 species